UGCGGGGCUUAAUACCUAGGUGAUGGAUCGAUAGGUGCAGCAAACCACCAUGGCACACGUUUACCUGUGUAACAAACCUGCACAUGUACCCCGGAACUUAAAUAAAAUAAAAUUUAAAGAAAAGAAAAAGAAUAGUAGUCACUCCUUUUUCCUAGAAGCUGGCCCCAGUUGUGCGUGUGUGUGUGUGUGUAUGCACAUGUGUGUGUGUGCAUGCAUGUGCACAUGUAUGUGAGAGUAGGGUAUUGGGUUUGUGCAUGACUGCUUGGCACAGGACUAGCUGCAAAUUAUUCUAAUUGCAGAGAAAGGGGCUCAACACUAUGGGCACUUUGGGGGUGCUUCUGGGUUCCUAGAACAUGAGAUUUCCUUUCCAGCUCUCUCCCACCUCAGAGCCCACUGCUUCUCUGGCAAGCUAGCCUGGAACUGGCAAGCGAGAUACUCAGGGAAAGUUGUGGCUCAACUGAGAGUCAUAGCAACCCCAUUCUCAGUCCAGGGUGUUGCAGACUGUCUUCCCAGACUUGUCCAGUCUGGGUCAGGUAAACAGCACGGUGCUGGAAGCCAGGGGUCUAUCCCCACCGCUAUUACCUUGCGUUUAUAACAGGCUUUCAGCCUUAUUCUCCAGGCAACCAUCCAACUGGUUGAUCUCACAACAUCCCAUUCAGAGGAAGGGCAGAGAUCUUUAGCGCCACUGGACAGGAGAGAAACCAGAGAAGCUUCAGCUCCUCAAGGGUGGGGACUACACCCUGCCCAUCUUUGUCAGCCAUGAGACGCUCUGCACACGGUGGGUAUAGUCAAAGUCCAUGGGCGCCCUGGCCCAGUGCCCAGCGCUUGCAACUUGUGCCAUCCCUACUUAACAACCUCUAUCCUUUGGGUGUCCCCAUAGGGACAGAGAACUGCAUUUUCUGAGGCCUUUCAUAGACUUGAGGGUCCAGCAACACUCCUCCCUCACCUGGGGAACCCCUUAGGUAAAGGCUUUUUGGCUGGAUUUGGUAGGUCUGGAGUGUGGGGAAGGGGUCUGGCUCACUGCUGGUCCCAGCAGGGAUGCUGGCCCAGUUCCCUCAUUCCCCUUCAAUUACCUGUAGGCAGUGGCCCACCCACCUGGGUGUUUGUGAAGGCCCCAGAUACUCAGGCUCGCGGUCCCUCAGAGCAAAGGGUCAGUCGCACAUAUCCGUGAGGGAGAUUAUUUUAUCUCUUUACCCACCUCUUCCCAUUUGCACAGGAGGAUUCAAUGUUCUGCCUGGGUGCAAACCCCCGUCAGAGUGGGAAGUUUUGCUUUUUGAUCUCUGGGUGAAAGCUGCCUGCAGGCUGCCAAGUGGCAAAGGAUCCAGGAAAAGGCACAGGACUGGAAAGCGCUACCCAGCAAUCUGUGUAUUCUGCAAUUAACAAAGGUUGGGGAGAGGAGGAAUGGCCACUGAGGUGGGUGGAAUGAAGCCCGUGGGAAGUGGAAGAAGGAGGCGCAGAUGUGAGCCCUCCUGGGAGAGCUGUUGUGAAGGUGCAAUUAGGAAACGGAAUAUUCUAAGGUCCCGCAGCGCGGUCCAAGUGUAAGAGUCAUUACUGGGCUGAGCUCCUCGCUGGACCCUGGAGGGAAAGGAUCGGUGGCUGCCGGGGAGUAGACGGCGUGGGGGCUGAGGAUGGGGAUGCUGCCUCCGUCCACCCUUGGAGCCCCAGGAGCCCAUCCUGCGAAGUCCCCUGGCAGGGCCAGCCUCCUGAGGCUGAUGGCUGUGCCGUGGGCUUGGAGGUUACUCAGCUGUGAAUGUUGGGCCUGCCCCGCUGGGCCUACACUCAGCCAGGGUGCACAGAGCGAGUGGCACAUCAUGUUUAUUAAUAACCCUUGAUGAGGAGCAUUAAUAGCUCCUAAUGACACCAUCUGAGUCUGGCCUCCUUCCGUCUCUCGCUGCUCACUCCUUCCUCUUUCCCUCCAUCUCUUGAAGACACACGAUCCCACAGACAGACAGACACAGGCGGGCUCGGCUCAGGAGAGCAAGUCA